rnacentral:rRNA from 1 species
CCGGCUUACCAACCCGAUGCAAACUGCGAAUACCGGAGAAUGUUAUCACGGGAGACACACGGCGGGUGCUAACGUCCGUCGUGAAGAGGGAAACAACCCAGACCGCCAGCUAAGGUCCCAAAGUCAUGGUUAAGUGGGAAACGAUGUGGGAAGGCCCAGACAGCCAGGAUGUUGGCUUAGAAGCAGCCAUCAUUUAAAGAAAGCGUAAUAGCUCACUGGUCGAGUCGGCCUGCGCGGAAGAUGUAACGGGGCUAAACCAUGCACCGAAGCUGCGGCAGCGACACUGUGUGUUGUUGGGUAGGGGAGCGUUCUGUAAGCCUGUGAAGGUGUGUCGUGAGGCAUGCUGGAGGUAUCAGAAGUGCGAAUGCUGACAUAAGUAACG